rnacentral:rRNA from 1 species
GAUGAACGCUGGCGGCGUGCCUAAUACAUGCAAGUCGAGCGAACGGACGAGAAGCUUGCUUUUCUGAUGUUAGCGGCGGACGGGUGAGUAACACGUGGAUAACCUACCUAUAAGACUGGGAUAACUUCGGGAAACCGGAGCUAAUACCGGAUAAUAUUUUGAACCGCAUGGUUCAAAAGUGAAAGACGGUCUUGCUGUCACUUAUAGAUGGAUCCGCGCUGCAUUAGCUAGUUGGUAAGGUAACGGCUUACCAAGGCAACGAUGCAUAGCCGACCUGAGAGGGUGAUCGGCCACACUGGAACUGAGACACGGUCCAGACUCCUACGGGAGGCAGCAGUAGGGAAUCUUCCGCAAUGGGCGAAAGCCUGACGGAGCAACGCCGCGUGAGUGAUGAAGGUCUUCGGAUCGUAAAACUCUGCUAUUAGGGAAGAACAUAUGUGUAAGUGACUGUGCACAUCUUGACGGUACCUAAUCAGAAAGCCACGGCUAACUACGUG